rnacentral:misc_RNA from 1 species
GAUGAAGAACGUAGCGAAAUGCGAUAAGUAAUGUGAAUUGCAGAAUUCAGUGAAUCAUCGAAUCUUUAAACGCACAUUGCGCCCGCCAGUAUUCUGGCGGGCAUGCCUGUCCGAGCGUCAUUUCAACCCUCAAGCCCCCGGGCUUGGUGUUGGAGAUCGGCGAGCCCCCCGGGGCGCGCCGUCUCCCAAAUAUAGUGGCGGUCCCGCUGUAGCUUCCUCUGCGUAGUAGCACACCUCGCACUGGGAAACAGCGUGGCCACGCCGUAAAACCCCCCACUUCUGAAAGGUUGACCUCGGAUCAGGUAGGAAUACCCGCUGAACUUAAGCAUAUCAAUAAGCGGAGGA